GGCUGGUCCGAGUGCAGUGCAGUGGUGUUUACAACUAAUUGAUCACAACCAGUUACAGAUUUCUUUGUUCCUUCUCCACUCCCAUUGCUUCACUUGACUAGCCUAAA
ensembl:misc_RNA Y_RNA Y RNA